rnacentral:rRNA from 1 species
AUUGAACGCUGGCGGCAUGCUUUACACAUGCAAGUCGAACGGUAACAGGUUAAGCUGACGAGUGGCGAACGGGUGAGUAAUGCAUCGGAACGUGCCCGACGUGGGGGAUAACGCAGCGAAAGCUGCGCUAAUACCGCAUACGAUCUGAGGAUGAAAGCGGGGGACCGUAAGGCCUCGCGCGAUCGGAGCGGCCGAUGUCAGAUUAGGUAGUUGGUGGGGUAAAGGCUCACCAAGCCGACGAUCUGUAGCUGGUCUGAGAGGACGACCAGCCACACUGGGACUGAGACACGGCCCAGACUCCUACGGGAGGCAGCAGUGGGGAAUUUUGGACAAUGGGCGCAAGCCUGAUCCAGCAAUGCCGCGUGCAGGAAGAAGGCCUUCGGGUUGUAAACUGCUUUUGUACGGAGCGAAAAGGCUCUCUCUAAUACAGGGGGUUCAUGACGGUACCGUAAGAAUAAGCACCGGCUAACUACGUG